CCAGGCUCAAGGUUGACUCAGCCUUGCAUCCAUCCGAGGACUAGAACUAAACAUUCCUCUCUACAAAAACUGGACUUGAAGAAUCUUUGGGGUGAGAAAAGAUCAUCAUGACUGGAUUACUACUUGAGUGCCAGGGAUGGUAUUCACUUACCUUCUCUACCGGUUCGGAAAUAUGCUAUUUGGAACCUGACACAACAACCUUCUCUAACUCUACUUUUCCUACCAAGAAAAGAUCCUGAAAACUCAGUGAAGGCGUCAAUUCAAUAUACAGUCACUCUGCAAAAGGCAGAUUCCAUUUGUGGGAUCAUGACAAAAAGAUUUUUAAAAGGCUAGGUUUUCCACUUCCUGUAUGACUAGAAACUGGAGUUUUCUGCAAUGGAUGGUGGUUGUAAGCACUAGAUCCCCAAACCAUGCCUUAAGAGAAGGAAUACAAAGAAUAUAAGAUAAGGGAACCUACAAGGGAGGACUAUCAUUGAGUUGAAGAGAUUUAUCUUCUUUAAUCUGCUAAGGCCAAGUAAGGAAGAAGGCUACUAUUGUGCCAGAUUAUCCACAAUAGAAUAACUACAUCCAAGUUAACAUGAUUUACUGUUUGACCUCUAAAUGCUGUUCAGUAUUUAUCUGAAGCUGUUAAGGAAUGUCAUCAGGAUAUCUGGAAUGAAGUGCCAUCAAUAUGCUGAUGCUCUCACUGUUCAGCUUGAUUGUUUAUGCCAGUGAUGGAUGGAUGGACAGAAGAGAGACUCAGAUCUACUGAAAGAUCUGAACAUAGUUAAAUCUGUACCCAUGGAAGGCGCUAAUGCGCUCAUUCUCACUCCUCCUGUAUAUGAGUAGACUGUUGGAUUUCACAAUGGUUUUGCGGGACUCAUCUCUCAUCCUAAUCUCCUUCAGAGGAUUAUUAGACGAUAACAGAAGAGGAAGAAGAGGACAAUAGUACAUUGAGUCUCUCAGAAGAAAGAUGGAAUGUAUAUGUGACAAAUAAAACAUGUGCAUUUAAAGUUCUCAAUAAUGCUUCAUUAGAAGCACUUUCUGUGCAAGAUGUGAUCAACCCCCUGUCUCAUUACAAAGAGUAAAUCAUGUAUUGCUGGAAGAAAAAAGGCACUAGAAAUCAUUCAAUCUUUCAUUUGCAGCUCUCAUUUAACUGGUCAAGAAUGGAAAUACGUGAAAAGCGCUUCCCUCCAGCCUUUUCUUUGUUUACCUUUCAUGCUUCCCUUUGCCACUUCUGGGUGUUUUGUUUUUAAACUUCAAGAGCUUUCAAACUCUUUUAAAUUCAGACGCAAAGCUCCAUUCCUCUUCAACCCAGCUCCUUGCACUAUUUCAGCAGUUAAUUAACUAUGAAUGCUUUCCUUUGGAGACUGGGUGAAGGGAAGGAUAAAAGAUGAAGAAGGCUGAGGAGAGACAUAACAAGGGUGGGGAGGGGGCAGAGUGGGUGGCUUAUCAAAUUCCACAAAUACCAGACACAGAGAGGUGUUGAUUUGUUGCUGGGAAAGCCCUGUUUGUUUGCAGAGCUUAAUCACCUGGUGUCUAUUUGUUGUUUGAGGAAUAUGGGGACAAUGAGAAAAUUUGCUGGCAGCUGUACUGAAAUACAAUACAGUCAAAGUUGUUAUUGUUACGUCAAUAAAACAUGUAAAUUGGAA